UACAGGGUCAGUAAUAAAUGUCCUCCAGGUUAUGGAGCUCAUCGAGCCAAUGGCUCCAUCUGCAUUUGUCUGAAACAAACACAGUCAUUGGAGCAGGAAGUAGCAUGUAGGCUUCUUUCUGAGGGGCUGCUGGCUGAAUAAUUGAGAAGUGGAAUCAUCUUGAGAGGAAGACCAACUUUCAGACUCACAGAAUGUGAACAUCACUAGCAUUUGUUGCUCGUCCCCAGUUGCCUUAGAAAUUGUAUGGUCGACCAUUGUGGUGGUGAAGGUAUGCUGUUACAGAGUUCAAGGUGUUCAAUGUGACUGGUACAAGUUCGGAAAAUGGUGGACUACUUUUCGCCUGCCUGGCAAUGUUGAAGAAGCUCUGCACCAUCCAGGAGAAGGAAGCACAUUUGAUCGAUGAUGCUGUCAGACCUGCUGAGCUUUUGCAGCAACUUCUGCUUUUGUUCCUGAUUUACAACAUCUGCAGCUCUUUUGAUUUUUAUGGAAAAUCGGCUUUCCAUUUACAGGCAGAGACCUGGAGGUGAUGCGUAGACAGGAUGUACUCACUCACCAGGACCAGUGGGGAGGUCAUGACAACAGGCCAUGCCAACCUGGUCCAAGAUCAGUGAGUCCCAGUCACCUGGACGAAUGCACCAUAAUGCAGGAAGAUGACUUUCUCCACCAUCUUCUCUCCCUCUAUUUCUGUUACCAUACACACCUCCUAUCAAGCCAGGCUCCUCAGCUCUUGCUAUUGCCUGCUACAUCUUCCCCCGUUCCUGUAACCCAAACCAAACCUCUGUGAGAUAUUGUAUUAUCAUUUUCUUUAGCAACUCACUCACAAGCUGGGUCUAGGCCCGAAACGUCAGCUUUUGUGCUCCUGAGAUGCUGCUUGGCCUGCUGUGUUCAUCCAGCUUCACACUUUGUUAUCUAUCACUCACAAACACUCUAUGUUUACUAUGCCAUGUUUCCAUUUACUCAGUCAUAAGACUCUGUCUUUAUAGUACAGUUUCUAAGCUAAAUUAGACAUCCCUUCCAACCCAUUCCUGUUUUUUAACACCUUUCAAUUCUUAUUGGCCCCAUGCUGAAGCAGUGUUUAGAUAUGUUUCUGUAUCAAAGGCUGCCCCUGAAUAAGUGUUAAUACCAUAACCUACUCAGAACAUGCAAUCCCCACCAUCAUAUCUCCAUGACCCACUCGAAACUAUGGAAAGAUUAUUAUAUUAAUUAGACCUUAGCAACUAUUUUUUGGGACCUGAAUAGAUUCCAGAACAUCAACAGUUUCCAUCACUAGGAUGUACAUUUCGAUACAUAUUAAAUAGGGCAGCUGUCCCCUUUAAACAACUUACUAUCAAAACAGCACUUCUGUGAAACUGCAUGAAUAAAUGUGCAGAAACUAUCAAAACUGGCAAUAGUAAAUAAAAUUUCACACCCCAGCUAUGGGAGAUCACUUAAUAUUCUCUCUACUUUUCUUCAGUACACAAUAAUUUCUGAUGUAUUUAGAUCACAUAGGUCUAGUAUUUUUACUAACAUUACUAACUUUAAAAACAAAAAGACUAACACCUCUUAAUUAUACAAGCUCAGACUGGAUUGACAUUCUAAUCCCAUUAGGAGUACUAACCAGCAUUUAGCAAGUGCUUAAACUAUUUCCUAUUUCCCCAGGGCAGAUGUCACGCAAACUUUUGUGUACAAUAGAUACAAUUAUGUGACAACAUAAUGCUAAAAUGUUAAUGUAUGUAAAGAUUAUGUUUAAAAGAAGCUGCUGUAAAACUGUACUUUGGAUUCCAUUGCCACCUCGAACUGUGCCACUGUGGAUG